rnacentral:rRNA from 1 species
AUUGAACGCUGGCGGCAGGCCUAACACAUGCAAGUCGAACGAGUGGCGGACGGGUGAGUAAUGUCUGGGAAACUGCCCGAUGGAGGGGGAUAACUACUGGAAACGGUAGCUAAUACCGCAUACCAUCGGAUGUGCCCAGAUGGGAUUAGCUAGUAGGUGGGGUAACGGCUCACUUAGGCGACGAUCCCUAGCUGGUCUGAGAGGAUGACCAGCCACACGUGAACGUGGACACGUACCAGAUUCCUACGGGAGGCAGCAGUGGGGAAUAGUGCACAAUGGGCGCAAGCCUGAUGCAUCCAUGACGCGUGUAUGAAGAAGGCCUUCGGGUUGUAAAGGACUUUCAGCGAGGAGGGGUUACUCGCAGAAGAAGCACCGGCUAACUCCGUGCCAGCAGCCGCGGUAAUAC